rnacentral:rRNA from 1 species
AUUGAACGCUGGCGGCAGGCCUAACACAUGCAAGUCGAGCGAGCGGCGGACGGGUGAGUAAUGUCUGGGAAACUGCCUGAUGGAGGGGGAUAACUACUGGAAACGGUAGCUAAUACCGCAUACAAUCAGAUUUCCCCGGAUGGGAUUAGCUAUAAGGUGGGGUAACGGCUCACAUAGGCGACGACCCCUAGCUGGUCUGAGAGGAUGACCAGCCACACUGGAACUGAGACACGGUCCAGACUCCUACGGGAGGCAGCAGUGGGGAAUAUUGCACAAUGGGCGCAAGCCUGAUGCAGCCAUGCCGCGGGUGUGAAGAAGGCCUUCGGGUUGUAAAGCACUUUCAGCGGGGAGGCGUUACCCGCAGAAGAAGCACCGGCUAACUCCGUGCCAGCAGCCGCGGUAAUAC